rnacentral:lncRNA from 1 species
CACUGCUUUGGGAGAUGCUGCCUGUCUGACUUCCACGAGAAAACCCAGCACCAAGCGUCUUCCCAGCACCUACUUCAAAGAGUUGCUUUUCCAGUAUUUUUCUUUUUAAAGGCUCCUUGUUUCUGCUCAAGGUUCUGCAGUAUCUUGGUCUGGAUGUGAGCGAGGAGAAGAAGAGGCAGUUACGGCAAAGCUUGACCACAGACUCGCAGGGGACAGUGGCCUAUGGAGAUCUUCUCCAAGCACUCAGGGAUGUGAUGCAGGAGGAGCUGGAUGAGGCUGGUCUGGAUUCCAACUCCAUACUCUUCACGCAGCACGAAGUAGCCAGUUUGCUGGAUACAUCAGCUUUUCAUUCUCCGAUCUUCGACUCUCUCAGCUGUAAUGGCAAUGAGGAGCUGGAGCAGCUGCAACUGGAAAUGAUGGAUCUGCGGCAAGAAGUCCGAAGGCUAAAGUCUCUCCUGAAAGAGGUGGAGAACAGCAAGAAGUCAAUGGAAGAUGAGCUUCAGAGACUGAACCAGGUUAGUGAAGAGAUUGCUGGGGACCUUGGGGUAGUUUUGGUGGUUGGUGGCUGA